GUCACCAGAUUGAACAGCUAAUCACAGCUCUCCAUCUGUGAUUAGAAAGAACUGCCGUGAGUGGUGUGAGAACGGAGAGCUUGUUAGGCAAGAAUUGAAGGAGCAUUCGCCGCUUCUAGAGGCAAAACGUGCAAUGAACAUCAGAAACCGCUGGGUCUUAGACAUGAAUCGGGGAAUGGCUUCUGAUGUUUUUUCCUUUUUAAAUAUCCAAAGCCUUAAAAAUGAGGACCCAGGGCACCGGAGCCUGGACCUCUGGCUGAAUUAGCUGCCACGUCUUCUGAUCACUGUCUCUCUUGCCACUCCAACAGGGAGUGGAGGCCCCCUCCCUCACCCUCGCCCAACUGCAAGGUCAAGUGGAGGGCGGGCAUCGAUGCUCCACAGGUGUGCUGUGUCUGCCUGACCAACAGCUUCCAGUGCACACACUCAUGUGUGUAAGCCUGUUCCUGCGCCCCUGCCUCUGCUGACUGGACCCCAAGGAAGGCACCUGACCCAAGGGCCAUAGUCAUCUGGCUUAGGGAGAUGGGCUGGACCAAUCAAAUUCCUUUGCUCAGCAAUUCAAACUAAGAAAGAUAGGGACGAUGCAUUUACCUGCUAGUUGCAAGAUCCCCAGCUGAAUGGUCCUGCAGUCGAGUUGGACAUGGGGAGAACUUGCCUGGAUGGAAGGGCCUGCCCAUGGCCCAACAUAAAGAAGCAGAUGAGAGGUGUGUGGCCAUGUCUGACCAAGGUGAAGGGCCAGAAUGAAGGUCCCCAGAUCCAGGGGUGUCCCCGAGGGGCUUGGCCUGAUUAUAGCUCCAUGAAGAUCUCAGGAUGGACUCUGUUUUAAUAGUGUUGGCUGAGUAGGAGCCUCUUUAUUGUGACCAGCUGAACCCAAUCCUGGUAUUUAGUAAUCUUCUACAAGAUGCCGUCUGAUUGCAGAUCUCUGACAUCAGAGCGAAUCAGCCUGGCCGUGGCUCUAGCUUGGAGUGGGGCUGACCGAUGGAACCACGGGGCUGAUUUGUGUGAUUACCAGGCCUGCUUUCUUAGGUGGUGGGGGAGGUAUAUGAUUCUGGGAGGAGCCUCUAAAAGAAACACUUAAGACCUACUCAUAGGUGAUAACACAAGGAGAAGUCAGCCAUCUAAAAACCAGGAAGUGGGCCCUCAUCAGACCAGAUCUUCCAGUGCCUUGAUCUUAGACUUCCCAGCC
rnacentral:lncRNA from 1 species